AUUGAACGCUGGCGGCAGGCCUAACACAUGCAAGUCGAACGGUAACAGGAAGCAGCUUGCUGCUUUGCUGACGAGUGGCGGACGGGUGAGUAAUGUCUGGGAAACUGCCCGAUGGAGGGGGAUAACUACUGGAGACGGUAGCUAAUACCGCAUAACGUCGCAAGACCAAAGAGGGGGACCUUAGGGCCUCUUGCCAUCGGAUGUGCCCAGAUGGGAUUAGCUAGUAGGUGGGGUAACGGCUCACCUAGGCGACGAUCCCUAGCUGGUCUGAGAGGAUGACCAGCCACACUGGAACUGAGACACGGUCCAGACUCCUACGGGAGGCAGCAGUGGGGAAUAUUGCACAAUGGGCGCAAGCCUGAUGCAGCCAUGCCGCGUGUAUGAAGAAGGCCUUCGGGUUGUAAAGUACUUUCAGCGGGGAGGAAGGGAGUAAAGUUAAUACCUUGGCUCAUUGACGUUACCCGCAGAAGAAGCACCGGCUAACUCCGUG
rnacentral:rRNA from 1 species